rnacentral:lncRNA from 1 species
GGUGUCUAGUAUAAAAAAGCAUAAUUAUUACAUAAUUUCAGUUUUUUCAGUGUAACUUGAUACCCCAUGAUUUUUUUCUCUUAAAAAGUCCUUAAAUCAUGAUGUUUUAUCAUUCUGGGCACACAAAAGUCCACAUGAGCUACUUCCUUGCAGUGAACAUAUGAAAAAAAUACCCUAUGCAGGUUGCAGUCUUGUAAUUGACUGCUCCAUAGGCUUACAUGCAAAACAGCUG